rnacentral:lncRNA from 1 species
AGAAAUAAUAUUAUUGAUUAUUGUAAUUAAAAAUGAUAAAAAGAUCAGAACGUGUAAUUAUGUACCUUUUCUUCUAACACUUUAAAAUGCAAUGUUAUUAUGUACUGAUGUAAAACAAAAAAUAGUAUCAUGUACGUUUUUACUUUUUAUUUUUGUUAGUUUGUUCCUUUAUUUUAAUUAGAUGUGACGACAAAAAAAAGAAAGGAUUUUAUUUGGUUAGAAAAAAAAAUACAUAUGGUCAGGCAAAAAAAUUAUCGAAUCCUUCCAACUUCCAAAUUCAAAAAAGAUUAUCGAUCCUUUUCAUUAACCAAAAAAAAAAAGACUUAUUCACUUUGGCGAUGUCAAAGCUUCUACCACAAUUGACUGAUCCUUUUCCUUGUAAAAUGUUUGGUUGGUACUUUCGUUAUCAGACUAUACAUUUGAUGCUAGGAAAGAGAUAUAUAGUCAAGAAGCACAUCGCAAAAAUGGAGAGCGAGAGAAGUGAACAUAGGUUUGAAGGAAACCUUUCCCGUAUGUUGCCAAAUUAUUAUAUUGAUUUGUAUUCUUCUUUUGUUGUCUUUAGAGUUUCAGAAUUUGGAGUGCUUUUGCUGUUGGUAAAAAAAAUAUAUAUAUACAAUUGGCAAGUAGCUUUGUGUUAGUCUGUAUGCUUCGAGUAUGUUGACUAAUCCAAAUCUAAAAUGAAAACAAAAAAUUACCUCUCUAUAUCUUAAGCAAUAAAAAUCCCUCAGCUGGGAUGGCAAAAAGGAAGAAGACAUAAAAAGAAGCAGACAAAGGUGAGUUUAUGUAACAUGGUAUUGGCGUUUAGUUUUUCUUUUCAUAGGUAUUGGUAGGCAAAUGAAAUAGUCACUGGAAUUGUAAAUUUUGUUUAUGUGUGCUUUAGAAUAUCGUGUCGAG